rnacentral:rRNA from 1 species
UACGUAGGGGGCGAGCGUUGUCCGGAUUCAUUGGGCGUAAAGCGCGCGUAGGCGGCUCCGCAAGUCGGCCGUGAAAUCUCCAGGCUCAACUUGGAGGGGUCGGGCGAGACUGCGGGGCUCGAGGUGGGCAGAGGGCAGUGGAAUUCCGGGUGUAGUGGUGGAAUGCGUAGAGAUCCGGAGGAACACCAGUGGCGAAGGCGGCUGCCUGGGCCUGGCCUGACGCUGAGGCGCGAAAGCGUGGGGAGCGAUCCGG